rnacentral:tRNA from 1 species
GCCUGGAUGGCUCAGUCGGUUGAGCAUCUGACUUUGGCUCAGGUCAUGAUCUCACAGUUCGUGGGUUCCAGCCCCACGCCGGGCU